GCACCUCACGUGCAUGAGCUCAUGGAAUCCUCAUCACGGCUCUACCGCACAGCUGCUUCUCUUGCCUCUGUUCCGCAGAUGGGGAAACUGAGGCACAGACAGUCUGGCUCUGGCACCUGACCACACUAUACUGCCUCUCUUUCUUGUGCUUAAAAUCAAACCCAAACGCCUCACUGUGGCGACAAGAGCUAGGCUGCAUCCCUGCAUUCGUCUCCUUCCCCAUCGUGUGUCCCACACGCACUCCUACACGCCCUUCUGGUCACACCUGGCUCCUCCUAGCACUUGUUCCUCUGCACCAUGCUGCUGGCCUUUGCCCCUUGGUUCCCUCUGCCCGGAAGGCUCUUCUCCAGCUCUGAGGUGCCGGCUUAAAGGUCACCUCCCCGGAGAGCCUUCCCUGACCACCCAUUUGCCUCUCUUUCACCUCUAUCUCUUUCCUUCCUUCCCAGUGCGUCUCACAACCAGUAGUGUUCUAUUUAUUUGCCUAACUGUUGAGCAGCGGUUCUCAGUGGGGGACAGCGGGCCAAGGGGCGAGUUGAUAUUGCAGUUGGUAAAGUCUUGAGACAUACUCAGUUUGUUGUCACAACUCAGGCACUUCAGUGACAGAGACUGGAUUUCCACACCGCAGUCCAUCAAAACUAAUCAGUUGGCUGUGUUCCAUCGCUCAGCAACUGACAGCUUCACCAGGAUGAUUAGCCCUGAGCUGACAUCUGCCACCAUUCCUCCUCUUUUUGGAGGAAGACUGGCUCUGAGCUAACAUCCGUGCCCAUCUGCCUCCACUUUAUGUGUGGGACACCAGCCACAGCAUGACUUGCCAAGCGCACCCGGGAUCUGAACUGGCCAACCCUGGGCCACCGAAGCAGAACAUGCGAACUAAACCGCUACACCACAGGGCGGGCCACCAGACUUUUAAUUUGAGGAAAAACAGCAACUCCACUUAGUUUGAACUUACAAUAUCAGUCAGCCAUAUUUUAAGCAAGCAGUGGUCACUUUGUGUAUGCACAGAGGGUCUUAUUCUUUACAGCGAGGUCUCAUACAGGAUCUUCUGUGAC
rnacentral:lncRNA from 1 species